rnacentral:snRNA from 1 species
GGAUAUGGCUGCAACAUCUGUUACCUCAUCGGUCACCAUGGUCCACUGAUCUGUCUGGCUAGGCAAGUGUCUCCACUGCUCCAUGCGCAUCCUGCCUGAAUCUGCAGUCAGUGGAAAAGCACAGCCUUCCACGAUAGAGGAGGACUGUUCUAUGGUCAGGUGUACACCAGUAGCUGCACUCUCUUGCUGGAAUCUCCAAACAAGUUCUCUAAUAGGACCAACCUCAUAGAAUUGUUGUGAGCAUCAAACGAAUAUAUAUGCAUAAAGCACAUGAAAUAAUGCU